GCCGUCAGCCGGGAACUCUUUGGCUGCCGUCGCCUGAGGCGCGAGCUUUGAAGCCGGCGAGCGGUGAGGAGGAGGCGCCUUCGCGCGUGGAGAGCCGACUCCGCCUGGACUCCACCGCCCACGGCUGCAUCCCAUCGCCGCACAAGAUCGCCGGAGUCAUAUUAUCGAUGUAAUUAAAGCCCACUGGCCUAAAGCCGGGCGGACUGCGGUGUGGUCCCUGAUCCCUACGGUGGUGGUGGUGCGGCUCAGAGAAAACUCACACUUGUUUCAGGCACAGAGUGGCAAGUUGGAUUGAAAAAACAAGACCUAUCCGAGUGCUGACUUCAAAAGACUCAUCUCAUACAUAAUAACACCCAUAGGCUCAAAGUAAAAGAUUGGAUAAAUAUUUAUUAUGCAAAUGGAAAACAAAACAAAACAAAAGCCAGAGUCACUAUUCUUAUAUCAGAUAAAACAGACUUUAAACCAACAAAGUAGAAAAGGACAAAGAAGGGCAUUAAAUAAUAAAGAUUUCAGUUAAACAAGAAGACUUAACUAUCCUAAACAUAUAUGCACCCAACAUUAGAGCACCCAGAUUCAUAAAACAAAUACUUCUAGACCUAUGAAAAGAUCUAGACAGCCAUACAAUAGUAGCGGAGGUUUUCAACACCCCAGUGACAGCAUUAGAAAGGUCAUUGAGGCAGAAAACAAAGAAAUUCUGGACUUAAAUUGGACACAACCAACUGGACCUAACUGACACCUACAGAACACUCCACUGAUCAGCCACUCUUCUCAUCUGCACACAGAACAUACAUCAAGAUCGAUCACUAGCUUAGCCAUAAAGCAAGUCUCAAUAAAUUCAAAAAAUCAAGAUCAUACCAACCACAAUCUUGGGCCGUGGUGGAAUAAAAUAGAAAUCAAUACCAAGAAGAUCUCUGAAAACCACACAAUUACAUGGAAAUUAAAAAACUUACUCCUGAAUGAUUUUUGGGCAAACAAUAAAGUUAAGGCAGAAAUUAAAAAAUUAUUUUAAAAAAUGAAAACAAAGAUACAACAUACCAAAAUCUCUGGGAUGCAGCAAAAGCAGUGUUAAGAGGAAAGUUUGUAGCACUUAACGCCUACCUCAAAAAGUUAGAAAGAUCUCAAAUUAACCAUCUAAUAUAAUUCCUAGAAGAACUAGAAAAACAAGAACAAACUAAAGCUAAAACUAACAAUAAAAUAAGUAACUAAAAUCAGACCAGAGCUAAACCAAAUUGAGACGCAAAAAUCCAUACACAGAAUCAACAAAACCAAUAACUGGUUAUUUAAAAAGACAAACAAGACUGGCAGACCACUAGCUAGAGUAACAAAGAAAACAAGAGAGACAAAAGAUCCAAAUAAGCACAAUGAGAAAUGACAAAGGCAAUAUUGCAACCAAUACCACAGAAAUACAAAAGGUCCUCAGAGACUACUAUCAACACCUCUAUGCACACAAACUAGACAAUCUAAAUCUAGAGGAAAUGGAUAAAUUUCUGGAAGCACACAACCUCCCAAGGUUGAAUCAGGAAGAAAUUGAAAUCCUGAACAGAACAAUAUCAAGUUCCAAACUUGAAUCAGUAAUAAAAAACCUACCAAACAAAAAAAGCCCUGGUCCAGAUGGAUUCACAGCUGAAUUCUACCAGAUGUUCAAAGAAGAGCUAGUACCAAUCCUACCGAAAUGAUUCCAAAAAAUCAAGCAGGAGAAACUCCUCCCUAAUUCAUCCAACAAAGCCAGAAUCACCCUAAUACCAAAACCUGGCAAAGGCACAACAAAAAAAGAGAAAAUCACAGGCUAAUAUCCCUGAUGAGCACAAACAGAAAAAUCCUCAACAAAAUCCUAGCAAGCCAAAUCCAGCAGCAACAUACACAAAUCAAAUGUAAUGCAUCACAUAAACAGAACUAAAGACAAAAACCAUAUGAUCAUCUCAAUAGACAUGGAAAAAGCUUUCAACAAAAUCCAACAAACUAGGCCUCAAAGGAACAUACUUCAAAAUAAUAAGAGCCGUCUAUGACAAACUGAUAGGCAACAUACUGAAUGGGAAAAAGCCAGAAGCAUUCCCCCUGAGAACCAGAACGAGACAAACAUGCCCACUGUCAUCUCUCCUAUUUAACAUAGUCUUGGAAGGGCUAGCCAGAGCAAUCAGUCAAGAGAAAUAAAAGGCAUCAAAACAGGAAAAUAAGAAAUCAAACUGUCUCUCUUCACUGAUAAUAUGAAAGAACCAUACUAAAAUUAGUCAGGCAUGGUGGCGGGUGCCUGUAAUCCCAGCUACUCAGGAGGCUGAGGCAUGAGAAUCGCUUGAACCUGGGAGGCGGAGGUUGCAGUGAGCCGAGAUCGUGCCAUUGCACUCCAGACUGCGCGACAGAGCAAGACUUCGUCUCAAAACAAACAAACAAACAAAAAAAAAAAACUACCAUUUCACCCAGAAAAAAAUCCCAUUACUGGCUACCUAUCCAAAAGAAAACAAAUCAUUCUACCAAAAAGAUACAUGUACUCUCAUGUUCAUCACAGUGCUAUUCACAAUAGCAAAGACAUGGAAUCAACUUAGGUGCCCAUCCACGGUAGACUGGAUAAAGAAAGUAUGGUAUGUAUAUACCAUAGAAUACUACACAGCCAUAAUGAAAGAAUGAAAUCAUGUCCUUUGCAGCAACAUGGAUGCAGCUGGAUUAUUCUAAGCAAAUUAAUGCAAGAACAGAAAACCAAAUACCAUACCACAUGUUCUCACUUAAAAAUGGGAGCUAGGCUGGGCACGGUGGCUCACACCUGUAAUCCCAGCACUUUGGGAGGCCAAGGCAGGUGGAUCACCUGAGGUCAGGAGUUUGAGACCAGCCUGACCAAUAUGGUGAAACCCCAUCUCUACUAAAAAUACAAAAAUUAGCUAGGCAUGAUGGCCCUCACCUGUAAUCUCAGCUUACUCAGGAGGAUACGACAGGAGAAUUGCUUGAAUCUGGGAGGCAGAGGUUGCAGUGAGUGGAGAUCAGGCCACUGCACUGCAGCCUGGGUGACAGAGCAAGACUCCAUGUCAAAAAAAAAUAAAUAAGUAAGUGAGAGCUAAACCCUGGUUACCCAUGGAUGACAAGAUGGCAAUAGUAGACACUGGGGACUAUUAUAGAAGGGAGGUAGGGAGCAGAGCAAGAGUUGAAAAACUAACUGUAGGAUACUAUGCUGGGUGACAGGUGACAGGAUGAAC